rfam:Triticum aestivum genome assembly, contig: Triticum_aestivum_CS42_TGACv1_scaffold_223276_3B
GUAGUAUUCCCUCCGUCCCAAAAUUAUUCUCUUACAUUUGUUUAGAUACGGAUGUAUCUAACACUGAAAUGUACCUAGAUACAUCCGUACUUAGACAAAUUUAAGACAAGAAUUUUGGGACGGAGGGAGUACAAA